rnacentral:rRNA from 1 species
AUGGCGAUGCCGCGCAGCGCGCCGGCGGAGCCAGAUGAAAGUGCGUCGCGCACGAAGCUCCUCGUCGGCGGCAUCGCUGCCUUCCUGCUCCUCGCCAUUAUCAUCGGCACGGCGGCGUUCAUCGUGUCGGAGAGGGCCGAGGACGAGGGGGACACGGACAAGAAAGCGAUGGCCGCCACGAUGCGCACCGUGGACCUCUUCUGCUCGCCCACGGACUACCAGGCCACGUGCAAGGAGACGCUGACCAAGCCGCUGGAACGUUCUAACAACCAGGUCGACCACCCGCACGCCGCCGCCGCCGCCGCCAUCACCGCCGUCGGCCGGGAGCUCGCGCGCGGCUUCAACGAGUCGUCGCUGCUGGAGGCCGUGCGCCAGAGCAACGACACGCUGGUCCACGAGGCCCUGCUCGACUGCAAGAUGCUCCUGGACGACUGCGCCAACGACGUAACCCGCGCGCUCUCCACCGUCGCGUGGCGCGGCGUCGACGGGCCGGCUCAGGACCUCCAGGCCUGGCUGAGCGCGGUGAUCACGUUCCAGGGCUCCUGCGUCGACAUGUUCCCCAAGGGCGAUGUCCGCGUCCAGAUCAAGGAGAUCAUGGAGAAGGCGCGGGAGAUCUCGAGCAAUGCCAUCGCCAUCAUCCAGCAGGGCGCUGCCCUCGCCGCCAUGCUCGAAAUCGACGCCGGCGCCGAAGUCACCCUCGCCAAGGACGCGGACGACGACGACGACGACAAGGACGACAACGACGAUACCCCCGCGGAGCAAAGCGACGGCGAGCGCCAGCUCCAGGAGUCCGUGUCCGACGUCCCCACGUGGGUGCCCAGCGAGGACCGGAGGAUUCUCGAAGAGGCGGAAGAAGAACGCAAUGGCGUGCUCACGCCGAACGUGACAGUGGCCAAGGAUGGCUCCGGCGCCUUCACAAACAUCUCGGCCGCCUUGGACGCGUUGCCGAAGAAUUACAGCGGGAGGUAUGUGAUUUACAUCAAGGAAGGUGUCUACGACGAGUCGGUGAACGUCACCAACGGGAUGUCAAACAUCACCAUGUACGGCGACGGCCCCAAGAAGUCCAUCAUCACCGGCAGCAAGAGCGUCGGCGACGGCGUAAGGAUGUGGAGAACCGCCACCUUGGCGGUGGACGGAGACAGGUUCAUGGCGGUGAAGAUGGGGAUCCGGAACACGGCGGGGGACGAGAAGCAGCAGGCGAUUGCGGUGCGCGUGAAGGGCGACCGGGCCGUCUUCUUCAACUGCCGGAUCGACGGGCACCAGGACACGCUCUUCGCGCAGGCCUACCGCCAGUACUACCGCAGCUGCAUUGUCUCCGGCACCGUGGACUUCAUCUUCGGCGACGCGGCCGCCGUGUUCCAGCGCUGCGUGCUGCUCGUCAAGGACCCGCUCCCGGGGAAGCCUGGCGUGGUGACCGCGCACGGCCGCCGCGACCGGCAGCAGACCACCGGCUUCGUCCUGCACCGGACCCGCAUCGUGGCCGAUGAGGCCCUCGCCAGCAAGUCGUCGACGGUGAAGACCUUCCUGGGGCGGCCGUGGAAGGAGUUCUCGAGGGUGGUGGUGAUCGAGUCGGUGAUCGACGGGUUCGUGCACGCGCAGGGGUACAUGCCGUGGGAGGGCAAGAACAACCUGGGCACGGCGUUCUACGGCGAGUACGCCAACGUCGGGGACGGCGCCAACAUCACGGCGCGUGAGGAGAUGAAGGGGUUCCACGUGCUCAACAAGGAGAAGUCCAAGGUGUUCACGGUGGAGCGCUUCCUGAACGGCGGCGAGUGGAUACCGGAGACGGGCACGCCGGUGAGGCUAGGGCUGUUCGGCUGA